UUCCAGACUCCUACGGGAGGCAGCAGUGGGGGAUAUUGCACAAUGGGGGAAACCCUGAUGCAGCGACGCCACGUGUGGGAAGACGGUCCUCUGGAUUGUAAACCACUGUCCCCAGGGACGAAGAUGACGGUACCUGGGGAGGAAGCUCCGGCUAACUACGUGCCAGCAGCCGCGGUAAUACGUAGGUGGCAAGCGUUGUCCGGAAUUACUGGGUGUAAAGGGAGCGCAGGCGGGAAGCCAAGUCAGCUGUGAAAACUACGGGCUUAACUUGUAGACUGCAGUUGAAACUGGUUUUCUUGAGUGAAGUAGAGGUUGGCGGAAUUCCGAGUGUAGCGGUGAAAUGCGUAGAUAUUCGGAGGAACACCGGUGGCGAAGGCGGCCAACUGGGCUUUAACUGACGCUGAGGCUCGAAAGUGUGGGGAGCAAACAGGAUUAGAUACCCCAGUA
rnacentral:rRNA from 1 species